rnacentral:miRNA from 1 species
UAUGACACUGUUGCGUAGCAUG